rnacentral:rRNA from 1 species
CGUCACCUACGGGGGGCAGCAGUGAGGAAUAUUGGUCAAUGGGAGAGAUCCUGAACCAGCCACGCCGCGUGAGGGAAGACGGCCCUAUGGGUUGUAAACCUCUUUUGUCGGAGAACAAAACCCGGGACGAGUCCCGGACUGCGUGUAUCCGAAGAAAAAGCAUCGGCUAACUCCGUGCCAGCAGCCGCGGUAAUACGUAGGUGGCAAGCGUUGUCCGGAAUUACUGGGUGUAAAGGGAGCGUAGGCGGGAAACCAAGUCAGCUGUGAAAACUACGGGCUUAACCUGUAGACUGCAGUUGAAACUG